UACGUAGGUCCCGAGCGUUGUCCGGAUUUAUUGGGCGUAAAGCGAGCGCAGGUGGUUUAUUAAGUCUGGUGUAAAAGGCAGUGGCUCAACCAUUGUAUGCAUUGGAAACUGAUAGACUUGAGUGCAGGAGAGGAGAGUGGAAUUCCAUGUGUAGCGGUGAAAUGCGUAGAUAUAUGGAGGAACACCGGUGGCGAAAGCGGCUCUCUGGCCUGUGACUGACACUGAGGCUCGAAAGCGUGGGGAGCAAACAGG
rnacentral:rRNA from 1 species